rnacentral:lncRNA from 1 species
AAUGAAGCAAAAACAAGAAAAAACUCCAGCUACCUAUACAAAUGAAAAGAGAAAAAUCAUAGCAGGACAAAUUGGAAGCGCCAAACGUGGUAGAAAGGUAGAGCUCCUAAGACAAGGACCAGCGAAAAACAACACAAACCUAUGACAGAACAACAAAAACACACCAAACGGAUGACAAAGACAUUCAAGAUGCUAUUUACUUAGAUGCAAAAUGGGAUUCUCG